GCAGCUCUGCUGCAAAUGUUUCUACGCUCCGCCUAUCAUCUCCGUCCCUGAGGUUAUCGCAGAUUAGAAGGCGAAAAAAAUGCACUCGUGAUGACCUGUUUUCUGAGCUAAUGCAGUCAUCCUGCACUGAUAGAGCACAGCUUAAUGCAUAGGGGCAUUCAGUGGCAGAGGCCAGGAAAGAAUUAAGUGAGCAUGAAGAGCAGAGGCAGGAUGCAAUGCUGAGGCUAAUGGGAGAGCAAACGGACAUGAUGAAGCAUCUGUUGGAGCUGCAGGAAAGCCAACAAGAACACAGACCCC